CGGCCCUAUUUGCCACGCCCAAGGUCAUGGCCCCACCACACCCACUACCUAAGCCCCAUUUUGAUCCAGAAAACAGAGUUUUCAUUUAAAAAAAUACAUGUUUAAAUGGCUAAAUAAUUUAACAGUGCACCAGGGGUAAUUUCAACUAUGAUACCUGAAAUACUGAGUAUCCUGAAUUUUGUAAAUGUUUUAUUAUCAGAAAUUAUAUUGUUGUUGCAUUGUUUGCUAGCUAGCUGGUUAGAUAGCUCUCAUUGAAUACGCUGCUAACACUAGCUAAGUAGCUAUCCAUAGUUAAUAUAACUCGUUUUCUACAAAGGUAUGUUAGUUAGCUAAGUUGGCUAUAUAAUACAUAUAACUCAUCUGAUGUCGAUAUACCUGAGAGUCUCCUUCCUGGUCAGCAAGGGGUAGUCUGUGUUUCAUUUCAUUGUGAAUUAAAAACACAGUUUGAGAUCAUUGUGAAGGGUUUUCUCCAGUGGUUUGAAAGGGGAAUCGGGCUUCCCGGGAAAAUGAUGACCGAGGUCGCAACAGUAACCAAGGGGGAGCAGGGUUUAGCGAAGGGUCAUUAUCGGAUACUUUUUCUGUUUCCAUCAGGCACAAAGGUUAACGAUUAAAGCAGAGAAGGGUUGAGUAUUGCCCGUUCCUUUUUGUUUUGGCUGUAUCUUUCCUCCUUUGUCUAGACAGACAGACGAAUAGAUGGAGAGUCAGACAGAGGGGUAGAUCAGGAGAAAGCUUCAAAUUGUCAAUGGGAGCUGGGAGGCAGAGGUGGAGAGAUAGAAGAUGGAAAGGAGAGGAGGUGAGAGCAAGAGGGUUGUUGUAUGGUGGAGUUGGCUGACUGAAUGACUGAAGGCAGCACUUGAGCCCUGUUAGGGCUGGCAUGUAGGCUAACGGUUAGAGCGUUGGGCUAGUCACCAAAAGGUCACUAAUUCGAAACACCGAGCCAACAAGGUGGAAAAUCUGUCAAUGUGCCCUUGAGCAAAGCAUUUAACCCCUAUUGAUCCAGGAGCAACGUCGAUAAUGGCAGACCCUGGCUGUGACUCCACUCUCUAAGGUUGUCUCAGGGAGAGUUGGGAUAUGCAAAAAACACAUUUCCAAUUCACAGCGUAAUACACACUUGUACAUGUGUGAAAUAGGACAAAUAUUAGCACCCAACAAAUUAUUAUGUAAUGACUGUUUCUACAUAGGCUUUUAUUCAUGCUCUGCUCUAUUGCUGGCCUGAUUAUUAACCAGCCUGCUGUUAAAGACUGACCCAUAACCUGUUAGCCCAGACCCCAGACAAUGCACAGGGCUUCUGGGCUCCUGUGCUCAAACAUUGACUCAGACGGUGAAACAUUGAAUAGCUAACCCACAUUACAAAGCGACCCCUCACCAACCCUUCAGCCGACGGGCAGUCGUCGGUCUCUCACCGUCUCUACACGAUAUCAUCCAUAGUGCUUAAUGACCAUUAUAAACUGGGUGGUUCGAGCCCUGAAUGCUGAUAGGCUGACAGCCGUGGUAUAUCAGACCGUAUACCAUGGGUAUGACAAAAUAUUUAUUUUUACUGCUCUAAUUACAUUGGAAACCAGUUUAUAAUAGCAAUCAGACACCUCUGGGGUUUGUGG
rnacentral:lncRNA from 1 species